rnacentral:rRNA from 1 species
UACGAAGGGUGCAAGCGUUAAUCGGAAUCACUGGGCGUAAAGGGCGCGUAGGCGGCCUGAUAAGUCGGGGGUGAAAGCCUGUGGCUCAACCACAGAAUUGCCUUCGAUACUGUUAGGCUUGAGACCGGAAGAGGUAAGUGGAACUGCGAGUGUAGAGGUGAAAUUCGUAGAUAUUCGCAAGAACACCAGUGGCGAAGGCGGCUUACUGGUCCGGUUCUGACGCUGAGGCGCGAAAGCGUGGGGAGCAAACAGG